UACAGAGGUCCCAAGCGUUGUUCGGAUUCACUGGGCGUAAAGGGUGCGUAGGCGGUCGGGUAAGUCUGAUGUGAAAUCUCACAGCUUAACUGUGAAACUGCAUUGGAUACUAUUCGGCUUGAGAGUUGGAGGGGGGACUGGAAUUCUUGGUGUAGCAGUGAAAUGCGUAGAUAUCAAGAGGAACACAAGUGGCGAAGGCGAGUCCCUGGACAACUUCUGACGCUGAGGCACGAAAGCUAGGGGAGCAAACAGG
rnacentral:rRNA from 1 species